GUGCCCCUGGGCCUUGUGGCAGAUUUUUGCCAAAAGGAGCACAGAAUUUCAUCUGAAAUAUUCUUACCCUUUUCAGUUUUCGGAUAAAAAGCGUUAACAGGAGCCAGAAGAGGGUUGCAGCCACACAGGUGCACGUCAGAGUGAUGAGCUCCAGGUUGGACUUGUCCGAGCUCCCUGGAGAGAUAAAAACACCAAGAGGCCGCUAAACAGCAGCUCACAACCCCUGGGUCUGUGAUUUGACAGAAGAAGAAUUGGAGAUGAAAGCUGAGCACUGUUUCUCCACGACCAGAAUGAAAAGAUCCAAGAUAUGUUUUAUGUAACCAAAAACCAGACUGGGACCUGCUUGGGACACAGUGGCCUUUGGCUGCUGGAGGAGCCGAGAACAUCUUGGGACUGAGCACGGUCUGCAUACAGUCUCUGCAAGGACUGACCCCGAG